GAUGAACGCUAGCGGCAGGCCUCAUACAUGCAAGUCGGACGGGAUUGAGGCGCUUGCUUCUCAUGAGAGUGGCGCACGGGUGCGUAACACGUAUGUAACCUACCUUAGUCAGGGGGAUAGCCUCUCGAAAGAGAGAUUAACACCGCAUAACAUUAAGUUGUGGCAUCACAGUUUAAUCAAAUAUUUAUAGGACUAAGAUGGGCAUGCGGAACAUUAGCUAGUUGGUAAGGUAACGGCUUACCAAGGCAACGAUGUUUAGGGGACCUGAGUGCAUGACCCCCCAGGCUGGUACGGAAGCCCGGACCGUACUCCUACGUGAGGAAGCAGUAAGGAAUAUUGGUCAAUGGACGCAAGUCUGAACCAGCCAUGCCGCGAGCAGGAGGACGGCCGUACGGGUUGUAAACUGCUUUUGUACCGGAAUAAACCGUUUCACGUGUGAGAAGCUGAAUGUACGGUAAGAAUAAGGAUCGGCUAGCUCCGUGCCAGCCGCCGCAGUAA
rnacentral:rRNA from 1 species